GACAUUUGGUAGAGACUGUUGAAGCCACCUGGUCCCAGCAGACCCCAGAAGGCGGCCAUAUUCACUGGUGUUGGAGAAAGGUCAUUGAGGGUUAAGCCUGGAGCAAGAUGUAU
rnacentral:rRNA from 1 species